rnacentral:rRNA from 1 species
GACGAACGCUGGCGGCGUGCCUAAUACAUGCAAGUCGAGCGAAUCUCAGGGAGCUUGCUCCCUGAGAUUAGCGGCGGACGGGUGAGUAACACGUGGGUAACCUGCCUGUAAGACUGGGAUAACUUCGGGAAACCGGAGCUAAUACCGGAUACUUUCUUUUCUCGCAUGAGGGAAGAUGGAAAGAUGGUUCUGCUAUCACUUACAGAUGGACCCGCGGCGCAUUAGCUAGUUGGUGAGGUAACGGCUCACCAAGGCGACGAUGCGUAGCCGACCUGAGAGGGUGAUCGGCCACACUGGGACUGAGACACGGCCCAGACUCCUACGGGAGGCAGCAGUAGGGAAUCUUCCGCAAUGGACGAAAGUCUGACGGAGCAACGCCGCGUGAGCGAAGAAGGCCUUCGGGUCGUAAAGCUCUGUUGUUAGGGAAGAACAAGUACGAGAGUAACUGCUCGUACCUUGACGGUACCUAACCAGAAAGCCACGGCUAACUACGUGCCAGCAGCCGCCGUAAGAC